AUGGGCGCAAGCCUGAUGCAGCCAUGCCGCGUGUGUGAAGAAGGCCUUCGGGUUGUAAAGCACUUUCAGUCAGGAGGAAAGGUUAGUAGUUAAUACCUGCUAGCUGUGACGUUACUGACAGAAGAAGCACCGGCUAACUCCGUGCCAGCAGCCGCGGUAAUACGGAGGGUGCGAGCGUUAAUCGGAAUUACUGGGCGUAAAGCGUACGCAGGCGGUUUGUUAAGCGAGAUGUGAAAGCCCCGGGCUCAACCUGGGAACUGCAUUUCGAACUGGCAAACUAGAGUGUGAUAGAGGGUGGUAGAAUUUCAGGUGUAGCGGUGAAAUGCGUAGAGAUCUGAAGGAAUACCGAUGGCGAAGGCAGCCACCUGGGUCAACACUGACGCUCAUGUACGAAAGCGUGGGGAGCAAACAGGAUUAGAUACCCUGGUAGUCCACGCCGUAAACGAUGUCUACUAGAAGCUCGGAGCCUCGGCUCUGUUUUUCAAAGCUAACGCAUUAAGUAGACCGCCUGG
rnacentral:rRNA from 1 species